UCCCUCGAGCCGGAUUUGAACCAGCGACCUAAGGAUCAGAUCACGUUGUAACAUCUACAGUCCUCCGCUCUGCCAACUGAGCUAUCGAGGG